rnacentral:rRNA from 1 species
AUUGAACGCUGGCGGCAGGCCUAACACAUGCAAGUCGAGCGGCAGCGGGAAAGUAGCUUGCUACUUUUGCCGGCGAGCGGCGGACGGGUGAGUAAUGCCUGGGAAAUUGCCCAGUCGAGGGGGAUAACAGUUGGAAACGACUGCUAAUACCGCAUACGCCCUACGGGGGAAAGCAGGGGACCUUCGGGCCUUGCGCGAUUGGAUAUGCCCAGGUGGGAUUAGCUAGUUGGUGAGGUAAUGGCUCACCAAGGCGACGAUCCCUAGCUGGUCUGAGAGGAUGAUCAGCCACACUGGAACUGAGACAUGGUCCAGACUCCGACGGGAGGCAGCAGUGGGGAAUAUUGCACAAUGGGGGAAACCCUGAUGCAGCCAUGCCGCGUGUGUGGAGAAGGCCUUCGGGUUGUAAAGCACUUUCAGCGAGGAGGAAAGGUUGAUGCCUAAUACGUAUCAACUGUGACGUUACUCGCAGAAGAAGCACCGGCUAACUCCGUGCCAGCCGCCGCCGUAACAC